rnacentral:rRNA from 1 species
UACGUAGGGUGCGAGCGUUAAUCGGAAUUACUGGGCGUAAAGGGCGCGUAGGCGGCUUUUCAAGUCGGGCGUGAAAUCUCCGGGCUUAACCUGGAAGGGUCGUUCGAUACUGUCGAGCUAGAGUGUGGAAGAGGCUACUGGAAUUCCGUGUGUAGCGGUGAAAUUCGUAGAUAUUAGGAAGAACACCAGUGGCGAAGGCGGCUCACUGGCCCGGUACUGACGCUGAGGCGCGAAAGCGUGGGGAGCAAACAGG